AAAUCUUAGCUAUAAAGCAUUUUGAUUUCGGCUCAAAAAGGAUGAUUUUUCAUAAGAUUUA
rnacentral:tRNA from 1 species